ACGGAAGGCAGCAGUGGGGAAUAUUGCACAAUGGGCGAAAGCCUGAUGCAGCGACGCCGCGUGAGCGAAGAAGUAUUUCGGUAUGUAAAGCUCUAUCAGCAGGGAAGAAGAAAUGACGGUACCUGACUAAGAAGCCCCGGCUAACUACGUGCCAGCAGCCGCGGUAAUACGUAGGGGGCAAGCGUUAUCCGGAUUUACUGGGUGUAAAGGGAGCGCAGGCGGCAGGGCAAGUCUGAUGUGAAAACCUGGGGCUUAACUUCGGGACUGCAUUGGAAACUGCUCAGCUUGAGUGUCGGAGAGGUAAGUGGAAUUCCUAGUGUAGCGGUGAAAUGCGUAGAUAUUAGGAGGAACACCAGUGGCGAAGGCGGCUUACUGGACGACAACUGACGCUGAGGCUCGAAAGCGUGGGGAGCAAACAGGAUUAGAUACCCUGGUA
rnacentral:rRNA from 1 species